rnacentral:tRNA from 1 species
GGAGAGAUGGCUCAGUGGUUAAGAGCACUGACUGCUCUUCCAGAGGUCCUGAGUUCAAAUCCCAGCAACUACA